UUUAUUUUGCAGGUGUGCUAUUUUGUAGCUCUCUACUACAACGUCAUCAUUGGCUGGAGUUUGUUUUAGAUUUCUGUGGGCAAAUCACACAUAACACUUCAUUCUAGGUAGUUAAAUAUUAGUGAAAAGUGACACUUUAAAAGUGUGCUUACAUUUUUAAAAAGACAAAUAAAAACAGUGUUUUAUAGUGAAAUCUAAGGUUAAUUAUAAUCUUUCCUUAUUUCAACAAGGUCUUUAAAAUUUUUGUGAAUACUUAAAAGUCCUUUCUUUUUGCCCUUUAUUCAAUCAGCCCUAAUGUUUCAGUUCUCUAAUUACCAAUUA
rnacentral:lncRNA from 1 species